ensembl:lncRNA
UCUCCCUCCUCCUCAUCCUCCUUUCUCUCUCUCUCCCUCUUUUUCUCUCCCUCUCUAUGUCUCCUUUUCCCUCUCCCUUCCUACUGUCUACACAUCUGACAGUGAGGAUAACAAUAUGUGUCUCUCAGAGACUUAAUAAAUGGAAAGUGAUUAGCAUAGUACUUGGGACACGGUCAAAACCCCAGUAAACUUCCACUGUCACCUUUAUCUAAAGAAAAGUGCCACCUGUCUAACUAGAUCAAGUGUGUAAUAUUUCUGAUAUAUGUAUGAGCACUCCAUCACUUACUCACAAAACUCUGGUUUAAAAAAUGGAAAAUUUUAAAUCCUGAGUCAAGCAUUUGUUCUGAUUUGGUUUAUAUCAAGCAUAGUGUCAACAUCUCACCCCUUUACUCCUGGAUGGUUCAAAGUGACCCCAGGAAGGUGCACAGGCUCAGUUUUGGAGGUAGAGACUUUCUUGUGCAUCACAUAGUUUUUCUCCAUGCUCCUGACAAAGAGAUUCACUUUGCUGAGGGAUCAGGCCUAGGGUGACUCACAUCCCGUGGGAUGAGAAGUCAGUUUAGGAAGCCAUGCUGUCUCUUCCUGUCUGCCCCAGGUAUGAAUGGUGUUACUUAGACUCGUUUAAUUGGGCACACCUUGCUCCAGGCAGAGGUCCUGUGUGUGCCUUUCAUGAGUUAAGAGUCUUGGGGCAGUGAAAAGUUAAACCAGCCAUGAGUUAAACUUUCCCCAAGCAAAAGCGGCCAAUAGAGAAUCCACAGCACAUAUGCGGAAGAGUGAUGGUAGCACAGAUAGCCUAAGAAUUAGAAGCUGCCAGAAAGACCACCAGGAAAUGUGGAUAGCUCGUGUGGCGGCUUUGGGUUUAAAUCAGUCUUCUGAGAGUCCUGAACUGUCACCACCAUGUGGCACCACUGAGAGAUGAAUGACAUGUGGCAUCGCCGAGAGAUUAAUGACAAUGUUCCCUGUCAGUCAGAUAGGCUAUCCCGAGCUGUCUCUGAGGAGCCAGCCUGCAGGAUUUGUGAAUCGAACCUAGGUGACUCCUUUUCUAGAAUGCUGACUAGAGGGUUCCAAACACCAGUGCUUUCCUUUACAAUUUAAAAGUAGGCACGGAAUAGCAGCAACAAAAACCCAGUUGCUCUCCAGCCUGCCCCCUUCCAUGACCUUUCAAGCAUUACUCGUUAAAAGAGGACAGGAUGCCUCUGAGGUGUACCUCAGUGGUAGGCUAUUUACCUGGCAUGUGUGAUAUCCUGAGUUUCAUUCCCAGUACUGCAAAAAGUGGACAGUGUGCCUUGUGGGUCAGAUACCAGGCUGUGUUGCUUCUCGGUGCUCAUGUCUACGCCCUACCUGCUUCCUUUCUCUUUUGAGUAUAUGUUUGGUGGUCUACCCCUAGGGGCAGCAUUUUCUCAGAGGCUAUUGCCUCACAGGGUACACACAGUAUACACACUCAGGCACGCUCGGACCCUCCUGGGCUACACACAUUCCGGAACACUGGCUUGCACGCUGUACACUGCCACACACACUCACUCACACACCCAUGUUCCCCUAGACUGCCUUGAGUUCACACCCUCAGCCACUCCCCCACGCACUCUGUGACAUCCGAAGGGCGUGGGAGUUGCCUGGUUUUCAGAGCUGCUUUUAGAACUCCAUGUUAGUUCAAUUGGGUAGACACUAAGUUGUCAUCAGAGUGCUGUUGUGAUAGAGGGACCUGGUCAAGAAUAAACGUCGUCCUCAGAGGAGAAGGUGGGGAGCUGCCGAAAGGGUGGGCCUUUACCCCUCUGCCACAGAACCUGAGGGCAGGAAGCCAGGGUCUCUUCUGUGUCCUGGGAAAUAGCAUUUGUUUUCAGGAAGUGUGAUCUUUUUGAGGAAAGGGUGGAGUUUGGAGGUCACUGUCUGGAGCUUCUGGGGAUUUUGAAAGUGGAGGCAACCACAAUUUACACUGGCUUCAACAGUAAGAGAUGGUUAUUGGCUCACAGAACUGAGUUGUCUACUUCAGACAAAGUUUCAUCAAGAGGUCAACAACGGGCCCUCGACUCCCUUUGCUCUGUACUUCCUUCAGGCGAUCUCUCUGACCAGUUUGUCCUCCUUUAUAACAUCACGGACACUGUAGUUAAGCUGUUCCUAUACAGGGAAGAAAGGGUAAAUAGACCCACCUCCCAGAAUUCUAAGCGAUAGGCUCACAUUCUCUCUGAUGGGUUGCCUUAUGUCCCAGGUCCAUUCACAUGCUAACUGGCGUGUGCUAAACAAGAUUCCUUCCAGAGUGAGGAGUUGAGGAGAGUGGAGACUAAAAAAGGAACACCAGGGUUUGCACAUCAGGAAAGGUGAUAGAUGCCACUGGCAACAGAACCACCCCAUGAGACCCUCGCUGUCUAGAAGGGACCUCCUCAUUAUUUUCCUCUUGUCAUCUUGUCAAAGGCUGAUGACACAGGGUAAACUCCCUGCUUCCUCCUCAUCACAACUUUCCACGGCACACGCAGACACGUAGGGCUCGUGUCCCCAACUCUCUGCUUGAGUUGGUUUUCAUUUUUGUACUUUUUUUUUUUUUUUUUUGGAAAUUUAUCUAUAGCCCAGUAGAUUGCCUCUCCAACAUGACAAAAGAAGUUUAGAGUUCUGCCUCCAGAGUAAAGAUCAGUCCAGAAUUCACAAGUAACCUACUCCCAUUUUCCUUUUUCGGCUUCUGCCAGUGAUAGGCCAAAACCAGGUCCCUGUGGUAACAGCUGAUGUAGUGGACUGGUGAUCGCUUGAGUUCUUUACGGAAAGCCCGUCAUUGCCCAAGGGCUGUCUCUCUGAAUCUGCACACGUGUUCUUCACGAAGUCUUAGAGAGGAGGAAAUUUCCUCUGUAUUUCACAGGUGGCAAGCCAGAACCUUGAUGGGGUGAAAUAAUUCCCUUAAGGUUAUGACCCAAGUGGGAUUUUAACCUAGGCUUGCUAGAGCUUGUGGAUGAGCCCUGAGCUUCUCGCUAGUGUCUCUUUGCAGAUGCACACUCAUAGCAGUGCCCCACGGAUAAGAGAGAAGUCAGUCUUCCCAUCCUCUGCCUCUCCUUCUUGGAGUCCUCUUUAUCCAUGGCUCUGUCUUAUUGCCAGAACCUCACACAGCCCCUGGCCUCCCUCUCAGGACAGCUGCCUCUGUUUAUCCAGCUACUCAGACCCGCCUGUGUAGUGUCAUAAACCCUGCUUCUUUGAGAAUUUCAUUUCCCUGUUUUACAUCACUUUUUUUUUCAAAACACAUAUUUCAUUCCAUGAAGCCCUGCCCUAUCUUAACUCUUCAAGUCCCUAAGUGCUGUUGAUUGUGUUGAAUGCAUCCCAAGUGCCAUUGAUUGUAUUCAAUGCAUUGGUUGGUGGAGGCCAUUUGCUUUUCAACAAGAGCCUUGUCUUGCUCAAUAGGGGAAAGUUUCACACAAACAAGUCAAUGCCUUCUGGAGCCCCUUGGCUCUUGAACCACUUCAGGUGAGCACAAUGUCUUGUUUGCACCCGAGGCUUCCAGCAGACCAUUAGCCUAAAGGAACACUAAGUCCCAAUUCUGAGUGGGUCUCUGUUACUUCAAAAGGAAUGUUCCAGAGAUGCCCCAAAUCCCCUUUCCAUACCAAACCAUCCUCCUCAUUCCACUUUCUUGUUUCUUCCAUGUUUUAUCUCCUCUCUCUGUUUCUCAUAAUUAUGUGCAGGGUCAGCCACAGCCUUUAAAUGGUAAAUGAAUGUUAUUAGCAUAUAGCCAUGUUCGCAUAUGAACACAUUGUCUCCAGCUGCUUCCCCGACAUAGUAGUAGACUGCGUCACAGCUGAGACAAUUUCUUUUCUUCUGGAAGGUCCAAACUAUUCUGAGCCUUUGCAGAAAGGUAGUGUGACCCCUGAUCUAGGUCAGUAACUCAGUAGACACCCAUCCACACCCUCUUCCUUCCCCACAUCCUACCAUGGCCAGAAGUAAAAUCCUGAUGUUUCGAAAGAAAAAAAAAAUCAUCUCAUUAAUGUCCACUUGCAAGGCAAAGAGGUAGGUGGCUGUCCCACCUCCACUUGUACCCAGGGUAGAUGCUGCUGGCCUGCCCUAUGCGCCAGCCCUUCUUCUGAGCCAUGCCCGGGCAACUGCUGUUCAGACACUGGCUGCAGCACUGGAGAGGAAAAAUAUUCUCUCUCCCUAGCCCAGGAGACACUAUCAGAUCCGAAAGCCAUGUAAGACAACAAUUAAAUGUAAUGGGUGUCCUUUGGGUUCUCCUGCCUGGGACAGCAUUCUGUGUGAAGUCAAGGCGAUGAAACGAAUUUUCUCUCUGUUUCUUUGGUACAAUACCAUAUAGAGUAUGAGUCAUGUAAUUAGGGACUAUUUUGUAUGAAAAUUCCUCCCUUUAAAAAGUAGGCUCAUUACCAUGCACUGCCUACAACAUGAAAAAGACGUAGAAACUAGGCCCCACUGAGAAUGUUCUAAAAAUUCAGCUAAUACUGACUUUAUUGAAUGGCUAUAUUAGUAAAGCCCCUGACUGUGUUUAUGUUCUUUCUCUCUCGCUAAUUCUUAUGGUCUUUUGUAACCAGGCCCCUGUUGUUGAUUUAUAAGGGGAGUAAUUCUCAACCUCUGGGGAUCACAUAUCAGAUAUCCUGAGUAUCAGAUAUUUAUGUUGCAAUUCAUAGCGGUAGCAAAAUUAUAGUAAUAAAGUAACAGCAAAAUAAUUUUAUGGUUGGGGGUCACCACAACAUGAGGAGCUCUAUUAAAGGGCCACAGCGUUAGGAAAUUUGAGAACCACCAAUAUAGGGUAAAUGCGCAUGUGUGCUUUUUGUACGGUCUGGUCGUCUCUGGGACCUUCAUCUGCCACAAACCAGGCCACACUCACCAUAUUCACCUCGUAGAUAGUUCAGAAAUAACCCCCAAACAACAUGUUCAAACACAAGUGCAGGUACUUGCUCUGAAACCUGCAGUUCUUGGAGAUGGAGAAGAGCUAGUUUGCACAGGCACUCAUUGGCUGCUGUGGGGACCUGCCCCAGGAUGCAUUUGUUGCCAGUAAGCAGCUGAACAAGCUUCCUUUGAGGAGGAGGUGAGAGGGAAGUUGUGAAUGAGGAGGCGGCUUCACUUCACAGUUUCUGGUUUCUUUCUUUUUUUUUCUUUUUUUUUUUUCCCCUCAAGAAGUAAGUAUUUUACCAAGGAGAUGUGGCGAGACUAUUUAUAAAGGACUGGGAGAUUCUCUCCCACUUCCGAGCAUUACCAGUUCCAUGGAGAAGUGGGCGGAGCCAGCAACUCUGGGAAGGUUGGAACCUUGUGCAGUUUGGCAUCCUGACAACCAAGUUGUAAACCGGGUGUGCCAGCUGCAGUCCAGUGUGGGGCUUUCCAAGAACCACUGUUCAUCGAACCUGGAACUGGAGAAGCCGAGCCAGAGAGACUGUGUGUGAACCGUUGGCCAUUUAAAAGCCGUAAACCAAUCUUGGCAAACGCUUUGGCUCUUGGCACCUUUGGCUCUUGGCUCCUUAUGCCCUUUUGUGUUAAAUUUAUGGAAAAUAGGGUAAAAAUGCUCUCCCAGGUGAUGGGGGGCCAGGGACCCUCAAAAUAGUGUUUUAAGCUUCUGGUUUCAUGGGAUCCCACUGAGAUUAAGAAAUUGAUAUUAUUGAUAUUUCUUGGGAACAAUAAAGAGGAAGAGGGAAGGAGGAAGAAGAGGGAAGGGGAGGGAAGGAGGGAAAGAGAGGGAGAGAGAGAAUCAGUACCGUUGCUUUGGAUCAGACUGAAGAACUUAGUAAGUACAAUAUCCAAAGUACCACACAACCAAGUUAUUGAAAGUGCAAAAAUAUUUAAAGUCACAUUAAUUUAAAGGCUACUCCUCUUUAAUACACUGCAUAUGAGCAAGUCCAGUUCAUAGAGGGACCAGGUUAAAAUUAAAUUUAUUUCAGUGGGCCGCCAAGACACUAGAAGGCCUUUCCCCCAGGCCAGAGAGCAAAUCACCAUGGGUUAGUUUAUCGACAGUACAAAGGAAGGAAGAGUUGAGGAACAUGGUACCUGGAAUGAGCAAGAAGCUGUGAUGUAUCCCAGAGCCAGGAUGCCACGGUUUGGUGGUGCUUCCUGCCUUCGCUGGGACAUCCAUGUGCUUCCAAAGCAAUUGCUCUAAAAAAGAUGUUGGCUGUUCCUUCUACUCAGCACCCCUGUACCUUCUGGAAACAAGAAGUCUUUACUGGGACAAGCAUUCCCUCCAGACUGCUGCUGAUCAAGUUGUACUACAAGAAGCUGUCAAUCAUGGCACUCCACACUCCCGUACACUAACGGUUCUUGCAUCUGGAUUAGCCAAUCACUACACACGUUCCCUUCCUCGCCUCGGUAUGAUGAUUGUCAGUCAGCACAUCUCCCGUGAUUUAAUUACUAGCUGGCAGAGAGGAGCUCUCUUUCCCCUCUGAGUAUGAGACAGUGGGGGCAUGAGUUUGUGACACCGUUCAUCCUGUUUACCUUGUAGCCAGCUGAGUGGA